UUCGCCCGUGGUCCUCCACCGACCGCAGGAGGGAAGGGAGACCGGCCGCGUCCCUCCUUUUUUUUAGGGUUUGGCGCCUCACUCCCCCUCGUCCUCUGCCUCCCCCGCGUCCGUUCGCUCAAUAAUAGGGUUAGGGUUGCGGCGAGCUCCCCUUCUCGCCGGCGGCGGCGGAGAUGGGUGUCCCGGCGUUCUACCGCUGGCUGGCGGAGAAGUACCCCAUGGUGGUGGUGGACGUGGUGGAGGAGGAGCCCGUCGAGAUCGAGGGCGUCCAGGUGCCCGUCGACACCUCCAGGCCCAACCCCAACUGCCUCGAGUACGACAACCUCUACCUCGACAUGAACGGGAUUAUUCACCCCUGCUUCCACCCCGAGGACAGGGGAUUAAAGUUCUAGCGAUAUAGAUAGAAAUGUUGCUCAAGAUGCUCGAAGGAAUUUAUAACAAUCAAGUUCACAAGGAUUCAACUCCAGCAGAUACUGUGAUUGUUGUUUGGAAUGGCGAAACCAGAAUCAUUAUUAGUGUGUUAUUCAGCUCGCCAAAGUGCAGGAUUCUCGCGCUAUUAGCAUUACAAUUACAAUGGACAGGUAUGCUCUUAUGCCAAUUCCACUAUUCAUCAAAUUGUAUUAUUAUUAAAAUGUAGAAGCCAUAGCAUAUAGUUUGUAUCAUCCUGCUAAUGGCUUCCUCCUUGCACACGACAGCAUUGUCAGUGGUACAAUCCCAUUAGAUUUUAGUUCCUGGAUAGAACUGAGGAGGUAAAACUUGAGUUCAGGCCUACUAGAAAUAAAUUGAAUAUUGCAAUUAUUAGUCUUAGAGCAUAGGUACGUAUAGAAGUGUACAACGACAUCGCCAUAUAAUUAUUCGAUCCCUCCAUUAAUAUAAUUUUAAACGAGUCCAAAGUUCUGAUGGUUUCAGGCAUAUGAUUCAAAAAAAAAAAAAUCUUCAGCAGCAAUUAGUGGAUACUUUGCACACAAGAUAUGCUUUAAAAUUAUAUAUGAUCAUUGGGUCAUUGGGUAAGCAUUCCUGUUGUUAGCUUUCUGUAAAGUUACAAUUUGUAUGAACUGAAUCAAAUUUGCACAGAUUGCCAAAACUGAACCUGAAAGAUAGUCAUGCAUAAAGGGUGACUACAUAGAGUGUAUGUAAAAAUGCACCACUGGUGCAAAAUAAAUACACAUUACUGGAACCAUUAGUACAUUGUAAAAAUCAAACGGAGUGGGCAAUUUCUAGAUGUGACCAGGUCGUGUGCCAAUGCUUAUUCCUGUGUACCUUAUAUGAUGAUAGUGGUCCUUGGCUUAUAAUUUACUGAAAAACUUUGCUUGUGCACUCAUUGCAUUUAGUCAGAAAGAUUGAGUGUAUAAAUUGUUCUAUAAAUCAUGAAACAAUACCACAUUCUUUAUUCAUACUUCCCAAAUUGUACAGAAUACAGAAGAAACACAGAGUGAGCCAUGUGAUCAGAAAACUGAUACAAACACAUAGAGAGGUCAGCUCAGAGAAUAAGAGAAACUACCUAAAGUUCACAAAAAUAUUUCUUUAUCCUGAAGUUACACUCAUGGUUACAACUUUUCAAAACAACAAGUUCACAGAAUUGUGGCUUAUUAUGAGGUUACACAUUCUAUACCAACUGGUUGAUUCCGAUUAAUAUCAUAGGAUUGGUAUAGCCUAAAGUUACACUAAUAAAUAUUAAAAGACCAUGAUCAGUUGAUAUUCAGAUAAUUUGCUUAUAUUUGAAUUUGCUAGCUUGACUAUACUAGUGCAUAUCUCAUCCAAGUGAAUCGUAAGUAUAAAACUGUGUGUGUGCUUCCAACUUUAGUCACUCUGCCCUGAAGUUGAGGCCCUUAUUCUUGGUUAGAUCUGGAAACUAAAGAUGGCCUUUCAAAAAAGGCUUUAUUCAGUAAUUCACUUAUAUGAUUCCGGGAUUCAGGUACACGUAAAGGGAAUUUCUAAAGCUAUAACACUUACUUGGGCUGGUGCAACUGUUUACGUAAUUUGUAAUCUUCUUUUACUAUAUGGACAGUAUUUCGACCUUUGUUAGAUCUCUGUGCACUAGAUGUUGGCUCUUCAUCUUGAAGCUCUAUGGUUGUCUGAUGAAUAUUUGUAAGCUGCAUCUUCUGUAGAUGGGUAGUUAGUAAGACCCAACUAUUAACAGUUGUGAUUUAAACAUUCUUUAUAUGAUCCAGAAGAAGGAAAUUUAAAUGGGUAGUUAGUAUACUUUUAAGACCCAACUGUUAAUACGAUAUUAUUCCAUUGUUUUGUAGUGUGCAUGUUUUGAUUAAGAUCUGGAUCACUUCUCCUGCUUGAAAACUAUAGGAGGUUGGUUCGAGCGUCAAUGCCUGCCCUUUGAUCCCGCUGCCGCCCUUGGGUCAGCAAGUGGCAAGCUACAUGAGAUUUCACGGCACAUGGGCAACAGAUGACAAGCCGAUAAGAAUUUCAAUGGGGAAACCACCUAGAUUGGAACCAGCGGAAUAGGAUAAAUUACUGGAACUGCUGGGAUUUGGAGUAGAUCUGCAUCUUCUUGUAGAGGAUCAUUGUCUUUUCCGGGUGCUGUACAAUUUAGGCAAACAAUAUUCCUCCUGGGCAUUGGGCUGCGAGUAGGCUGUGAAGAGACACAUGGGAUAGAAGCCACAAGCAAAUGGAAGCCAGUAUGAUGUGUGAUUGUGUUCCAGAUCUGCUUGAUGAACCUUGUUGGUUAGACAAGUAAGAUGGAAGCCAAUUAGAUGAACCAUGUUAGAUGAACCUUGUUGUGUAUUUUAUCUAAUGGUUUCAAACCAUGCUGUUCAUGAUGUGGAGAUGAACACUGUUGGUCAUGGAAGUUAAUUAGAUGUCUGGAUUGUGAAUCCUUGAAUGUUCAAAAUGUUGAUUUCAAACAUUGCUU